AUCGGCCGAGUCAGGCGACUCUUCGUCGUCACUUUACAUAAAAAGAUGAAAAAAAUUUAAGGUCAAGGCGUAGGGGGAGGAGGACGUGCCUAGCCGCCUACCACCACACCGACGCGGAGAGGCGGAGGGAGAGUAGCCGCUCGCCGCGCGAGUCGCCAUGGCGUUCUCCUUCUUCAAGCCUUCCAAGGCCAGGUCGUCCCCGUCCGAUCUCGUGAAGGCCAUGCGGGAGAGCCUCCUCGCACUCGAUACCAAGACCGUCGCAAAGGCUCGUGAAGAAGCUGAAAAGAAUAUUCUUUCAAUGAGGCAAAUGCUGUCUGGGGAUGGAGAAGCUGAACCAAAUCAGGAGCAGAUUUCGCAAAUUGCUCUUGAAAUUUGCAAGGAGGGUGUUCUUUCCCUUUUUGUUCAUAAAUUGCCAUCAUUGGGAUGGGAUGCUAGAAAAGAUAUAGUGCACUGUUGGUGCAUUUUGUUAAGGCAGCAAGUUGGUUCUGGUUAUUGCUGCGUGGAGUAUAUUGUGAAUCAUUUGGAACUUUUGGACUUCCUGGUUGUUUGUUAUAACAACAAAGAAAUUGCAUUGAAUUGCGGUAACAUGUUGAGGGAAUGCAUCAAAUAUCCAACGCUUGCAAAAUAUCUAUUGGAAUCAAGUAGCUUUGAACUGUUCUUCAAGUAUGUCGAACUCCCAAACUUUGAUAUUGCUUCUGAUGCUCUUGCCACGUUCAAGGACUUGCUUACUAAACAUGAAACUGCAGUUUCCCAGUUCUUGAGUUCCCACUAUGAACAGUUCUUUGAGCUCUAUGAAAAGUUGUUGACAUCUACAAACUAUGUGACAAGAAGACAAUCCUUGAAGUUUCUUUCGGAAUUUCUUUUGGAGCCUCCAAAUUCGCAGAUCAUGAAGCGCUACAUUCUGGAAGUUCGAUACUUGAAAAUUAUGAUGGCACUUUUGAAGGAUUCAAGCAAAAAUAUCCAGAUUUGUGCAUUCCAUAUUUUUAAGGUAUUUGUUGCUAAUCCAAAUAAGCCACGUGAGAUCAUUGAACUCUUGGCAAACAAUCAUGCAGAAUUGCUGAUGCUACUUCACAGUCUGCCUACAAGCAGAAGAGAACCUGAAGCACCAAAACAGAAGAACGUUCUCAGUGAUCCGGUGUUUGGAAUACAACCAAAAAGUCUUACAGGUCCAGCGUGUAUCAAGGGUGUUAACAUUGAAUGGUGAAACGAUCAGUACAUACUGUGGAUUUAUUUAUAUGAAAUAGAGAAUGCCAAAUGCUUGUUAAAUGGCGAAGACGAGCAGCUUGAAGAGGAGAGAGAUUUAGUAAUCAAGGAGAUUGAAAGACUUUCACAUCGAUCAUAGGCAGCCACUUAGUGAUGUGUUUUUGUAUUUAGACAUUUUCCUGGUUUGUUUCUCAAAUUUCAUGAUUGGCAUUAUGAUACUUCUUCCUGAAAGCAUUUAUGUCAAAUUAAGCCUCCUCUAAGAAAAAUGGUCAGUUGAUAGGGGAUUUGUAAGUUUAAUCUGAGUGUGGUAACCAUCAGUCCCUAGAUGGGAUGUAACAGUGAGUAGUCCUUUUUUUUUUUUAUGUGGGGGGAUUGGUUUGGGUUGGGGGGGGUGGGUGUGGGAACCAAAAGUAAGGGAGAAUAUAAAUAUUUAUGAUUGAGACCUCAGUAGUGCUAUAGUGGCAUGCAACAUAGAUGCUGCAUUAUAGAUCAUCUCUCGAGCCUGGAAAAUGCAAGCGGGCUGCUUCGUCUUAUUGGCAGUGUAGAGACAAAAUGUAAUUCAAGAACCAGAACCCUAUGGAUCAGGUUGUAUUAGGAUAUCAUCUGAAAGUAUGAAGCCUUGUCUUAUUUGGGAAUGGUACAAAUUCCCAGCAAUUAAUUUUGGCCUUGGGACAGUAUAGGUGGAAACAUCACCAGUUCUCUCCCUGAUUGUUACUAAGCUUUUUCAUAAAUGAUGUCUCCCUCCUGCUUCCCUACCCCAUGCCCUGAUUAAAAUUGAACUUUCAACACUUCUAUUC